rnacentral:rRNA from 1 species
GAUCCUGGCUCAGGAUGAACGCUGGCGGCAUGCCUAAUACAUGCAAGUCGAACGGACCGAAGGGAAAGCUUGCUUUUCCUGAAGUCAGUGGCGAACGGGUGAGUAACACGUAGGUAACCUGCCCAUGUGCCCGGGACAACGCCUGGAAACGGGUGCUAAAACCGGAUAGGUAGAGGGAUCGCAUGAACUUUCUAUUAAAGGGGCUACGGCCCUGAACAUGGAUGGACCUGCGGUGCAUUAGCUAGUUGGUG